rnacentral:rRNA from 1 species
GCUGGCGGCAGGCCUAACACAUGCAAGUCGAGCGCGCCUUCGGGUGAGCGGCGGACGGGUUAGUAACGCGUGGGAACGUGCCCUUCUCUACGGAAUAGCCUCUGGAAACGGAGAGUAAUACCGUAUACGCCCUUUGGGGGAAAGAUUUAUCGGAGAAGGAUCGGCCCGCGUUAGAUUAGGUAGUUGGUGGGGUAACGGCCUACCAAGCCUACGAUCUAUAGCUGGUUUUAGAGGAUGAUCAGCAACACUGGGACUGAGACACGGCCCAGACUCCUACGGGAGGCAGCAGUGGGGAAUCUUAGACAAUGGGGGCAACCCUGAUCUAGCCAUGCCGCGUGAGUGAUGAAGGCCUUAGGGUCGUAAAGCUCUUUCGCCUGUGAUGAUAAUGACAGUAGCAGGUAAAGAAACCCCGGCUAACUCCGUGCCAGCAGCCGCGGUAAUACGGAGGGGGGUUAGCGUUGUUCGGAAUUACUGGGCGUAAAGCGCGCGUAGGCGGAUUAGAAAGUUGGGGGUGAAAUCCCGGGGCUCAACCCCGGAACUGCCUCCAAAACUGCUAGUCUAGAGUUCGAGAGAGGUGAGUGGAAUUCCGAGUGUAGAGGUGAAAUUCGUAGAUAUUCGGAGGAACACCAGUGGCGAAGGCGGCUCACUGGCUCGAUACUGACGCUGAGGUGCGAAAGUGUGGGGAGCAAACAGGAUUAGAUACCCUGGUAGUCCACACCGUAA